GCCUGGUUAGCUUGGUGGGUAGCGUAAGUGCCUUGUAAGCGCUAGGCCGCGGGUUCGAUUCCCGCCCGGCG
rnacentral:tRNA from 1 species